AACGAACGCUGGCGGCAUGCCUAACACAUGCAAGUCGAACGAGACCUUCGGGUCUAGUGGCGCACGGGUGCGUAACGCGUGGGAACCUGCCCUUAGGUUCGGAAUAACUCCCCGAAAGGGGUGCUAAUACCGGAUAAUGUCUUCGGACCAAAGAUUUAUCGCCUUUGGAUGGGCCCGCGUUGGAUUAGCUAGUUGGUAGGGUAAAAGCCUACCAAGGCGACGAUCCAUAGCUGGUCUGAGAGGAUGAUCAGCCACACUGGGACUGAGGCACGGCCCAGACUCCUACGGGAGGCAGCAGUGGGGAAUAUUGGACAAUGGGCGAAAGCCUGAUCAAGCAAUGCCGCGUGAGUGAUGAAGGCCUUAGGGUUGUAAAGCUCUUUUACCCGGGAUGAUAAUGACAGUAACGGGAGAAUAAGCUCCGGCUAACUACGUG
rnacentral:rRNA from 1 species